AGAGUUUGAUCCUGGCUCAGAACGAACGCUGGCGGCGUGCUUAACACAUGCAAGUCGUACGAGAAACCGGAACUUCGGUUCUGGGAGUAAAGUGGCGCACGGGUGAGUAACGCGUAGGUAAUCUACCCUUGGGUUUGGAAUAACCCGCCGAAAGGCGUGCUAAUACCGGAUAAAAUCUUUCGGAGGGAUCUGAAAGAUCAAAGGUGGCCUCUCCAUGGAUGCUACCGUCUGAGGAUGAGCCUGCGUCCCAUUAGCUUGUUGGUAGGGUAAUGGCCUACCAAGGCUACGAUGGGUAGCUGGUCUGAGAGGAUGAUCAGUCACACUGGAACUGGAACACGGUCCAGACUCCUACGGGAGGCAGCAGUGAGAAAUAUUGCGCAAUGGGGGAAACCCUGACGCAGCGACGCCGCGUGGGUGAAGAAGGCCUUCGGGUCGUAAAGCCCUGUCUAGAGGGAAGAAAUUCUCAAUAGAAUAAUACCCAUUGAGAUUGACGGUACCUCUGGAGGAAGCACCGGCUAACUCCGUGCCAGCAGCCGCGGUAAUACGGAGGGUGCGAGCGUUGUUCGGAAUUACUGGGCGUAAAGCGGGUGUAGGCGGUUUGUUAAGUCAGAUGUGAAAGCCCACGGCUCAACCGUGGAAGUGCAUCUGAAACUGGCAGACUUGAGUACCGGAGAGGGAAGUGGAAUUCCUGGUGUAGGGGUGAAAUCCGUAGAUAUCAGGAGGAACACCGGUGGCGAAGGCGACUUCCUGGACGGAUACUGACGCUGAGAUCCGAAAGCGUGGGGAGCAAACAGGAUUAGAUACCCUGGUAGUCCACGCCCUAAACGAUGGGCACUAAGUGCAGGGGGUGUUGACCCCUCCUGUGCCGCAGCUAACGCAUUAAGUGCCCCGCCUGGGGAGUA
rnacentral:rRNA from 1 species